rnacentral:rRNA from 1 species
UACGGAGGAUGCAAGCGUUAUCCGGAAUGAUUGGGCGUAAAGCGUCCGCAGGUGGCUAUGUAAGUCUGCUGUUAAAGAGUGAGGCUCAACCUCAUAAGAGCAGUGGAAACUACAUAGCUAGAGUGCGUUCGGGGCAGAGGGAAUUCCUGGUGUAGCGGUGAAAUGCGUAGAUAUCAGGAAGAACACCGGUGGCGAAAGCGGCGCGCUGGAUCUCUUCUGACGCUGAGGCGCGAAAGCCAGGGGAGCAAACGGG